UCCAACCCUCAUUCUCCUCUCUCUCGUCACUUCCUCCUUCAAAAUCCACCGCCCAUGUUCAGCUUCCUUGCCUCCUCUUCCUCCUUUUUCCUUUUUUUUUUCACUAACUAAAAUAUGGUUUUAUGUUUUGCAAAUCUGCUCCUACUCUAUUUGGGAUCGAUCUACUUCUUCACUGCUACCUUUAACUAGUUUUUCACACCAGUCAAUCUAGGCAAUCGCUGCUUGUUUUUGGUGCUAGGCAAGUUAUACCAUCCACCCUAAGGAUUGUUCAGUCUUACCUCAAAUAUUCUCUUCUUGUGGGGUUAUCAUCUAGUUAUGGACGAGUGAUAGUGGUAAUGGAUAAAGAUUUCUGCACAGACAGUGCUGGAAACAAGUUUACGAGAAGUUCAAAUUCGAGUUCUGUUGUACACGGUGGAUCAUUAUCGAAUGCUGAUCCUGGUUAUCCGGGUCUCAGGAGGGGUGGAGUGGAUACGAACCUACCUCCAGCAUUUUCUUGCACAAAGUGGUUUUUCUCAGACUUGCACAAUGGGGUGGAGUGGAUACCGAAUGCUAAUCCAAGCUAACACAUUUUUCCACUCACAUUAUUCUUUUGGUAUAUUGCUUCUCUAGAUAGAAGAAAUGUAUUUGUGAACUUGAACUCGUAUCCCAGAUAGAACUAUAG